rnacentral:rRNA from 1 species
AUUGAACGCUGGCGGCAGGCCUAACACAUGCAAGUCGAGCGGAGCGGCGGACGGGUGAGUAAUGCCUAGGAAUCUGCCUGGUAGUGGGGGAUAACGUCCGGAAACGGGCGCUAAUACCGCAUACUAUCAGAUGAGCCUAGGUCGGAUUAGCUAGUUGGUGGGGUAAAGGCCUACCAAGGCGACGAUCCGUAACUGGUCUGAGAGGAUGAUCAGUCACACUGGAACUGAGACACGGUCCAGACGCCAACGGGAGGCAGCAGUGGAGAAUAUUGGACAAUGGGCGAAAGCCUGAUCCAGCCAUGCCGCGUGUGGGAAGAAGGUCUUCGGAUUGAAAAGCACUUUAAGUUGGGAGG